AAGUCGUAACAAGGUAACCGUAGGUGAACCUGCGGUUGGAUCAUUAGUGAUUAUAUUAUAUAUAUUAUAUAUAAACACCAAAUCCUUUUUCUGAUUGCUAGUUGAUUAAUCAAUCAAUCAUAGGAGAAGGGAAUUAAUGAGAACACUUGAAAAUAAGAAUAUUUUAUUGUGAUUUGUUUCUAAUUAACCGAUGAAGGUUGGUUAUUAGGGACAGUCACCAAAUGAGAUAUUUAUAAAGAAAACUACCGUAUUUGAUUAUCAUCAUAUAUAAACAUUUUAUCUUGCUUUUCUUUAGUAGGGGUGAGAGGGAAGUUAUUAACAAUGACACCCCUUACCCACACAGAGAUGGCCCGGUAAAGAAAAUAUAAUUAAAAGUACAACUUUUGACAAUGGAUCUCUAGGCUCUU
rnacentral:misc_RNA from 1 species